UACGUAGGGGGCAAGCGUUGUCCGGAUUUAUUGGGCGUAAAGAGCGUGUAGGCGGCCAGGUAGGUCUGCUGUGAAAACUCGAGGCUUAACCUCGAGAUGUCGGCGGAAACCAUCUGGCUAGAGUCCGGAAGAGGAGAGCGGAAUUCCUGGUGUGGCGGUGAAAUGCGCAGAUAUCAGGAGGAACACCCGUGGCGAAGGCGGCUCUCUGGGACGGUACUGACGCUGAGACGCGAAAGCGUGGGGAGCGAACAGG
rnacentral:rRNA from 1 species